rnacentral:rRNA from 1 species
AUUCGUCCAAUUGAAGCAGAGGACAGUGGCGGACGGGUGAGUAACGCGUGAGGAACCUGCCUUGUACUGGGGGACAACAGUUGGAAACGACUGCUAAUACCGCAUAAGAUUACAGUACCGCAUGAUACAGUGAUCAAAGGAGCAAUCCGCUGAAAGAUGGGCUCGCGUCCGAUUAGAUAGUUGGUGGGGUAACGGCCUACCAAGUCGACGAUCGGUAGCCGGACUGAGAGGUCGAACGGCCACAUUGGGACUGAGACACGGCCCAGACUCC